CGCUAACAUAGAAGACAACGAUAGUAAAACGUAGGUAUAAGUUUUGAGCAAAAAAUUAGAAGUCGUUUUUCAUUCAACAGUCUAUCUUGUCGACACUGGUUCGUCUGUGGCCAGAGCGAAGCAGCAGGCAGACGCCACAGCCGGACGAGGACGGAGGGCGUCGCCCGCAGGAGCCGUAGGACGUAGCGUCUCGGCGUAGUGUCGGCCGAGCGGAGCAUGGAGACGGAGGCGGGGGCGGCGGCCGCCGGCAGCUCGGCCGCCGCGGCCGGCAGCUCGGGCACG